GACGAACGCUGGCGGCGUGCUUAACACAUGCAAGUCGAACGGAAAGGCCCUGCUUUUGUGGGGUGCUCGAGUGGCGAACGGGUGAGUAACACGUGAGUAACCUGCCCUUGACUUUGGGAUAACUUCAGGAAACUGGGGCUAAUACCGGAUAGGAGCUCCUGCUGCAUGGUGGGGGGUGGAAAGUUUCGGCGGUUGGGGGUGGUCUCGCGGCUUAUCAGCUGGUUGGUGGGGUAGUGGCUUACCAAGGCUUUGAGGGGUAGCCGGCCUGAUAGGGUGACCGGCCUCAUUGGGCCUGAGCAACGGCCCAGCCUCCUACGGGAGGGAGCAGUGGUGAAUAUUGCACAAUGGGCGGAAUCGUGAUCCAGCAACGCCGCGUGCGGGAUGACGGCCUUCGGAUUGUAAACCGCUUUCGCCUGUGACGAAGCGUGAGUGACGGUAAUGGGUAAAGAAGCACCGGCUAACUACGUG
rnacentral:rRNA from 1 species